GAUAUAGAGUCAACACGCCACAAAUCAUCCAGGACAAGCAAAUACUUUUUUUCUCCCAAUGCUUCUUGAAGCAUCUUGACUAUUAAAUCUCUGCUUUGGACCUCACCUUUCCUCUUUGUCAGUGAUUCGAGGAUCAGUUCAAGAAAGCUCUUAGUUUCUGACAUUUCAGGUAGGCACAACCAAACUCUCUUUUCGAACUGCUGCUUGAUGUAUUCGUCAUUGAAAAUUCUCUUAGCCACAGUUGUUUUCCC